CGCCGCCUGCAGCCGCGGGGGCUCCGCAGCGCUCGUCCUCCUGGGGCAGCGCGGGCAGGCUGCGGGGGCCGCGGGCCUGCUGAGGGAAAGGUCCGGGGAGGUCCCUAGAAGUCUGCGGCUGCGGGUCAGUCACCAGAGAAAAGCCACCCGUUCGAGGAGAGCGGCCGUUCCCGGCCAGAACGGCGCGGACGCAUCGUGUCUCGGUAGCAUCAGCCCACGCUGAGUGGAACAGCAGAGGACAUCGGGGUUUUACAAAACCGUGCCGUGCCGUAUGGCGGGGUUGAUCACAGCUUGUUCCUACAGAAGAGCAGCCGCUGCCCGGGGUGCCGGUCUGCUCUCGGAGGCACGGAGCUUGUUCAGCGGCCAUGCCUGGUCUGUAGGGCACCAGCUGUGGCUGCAGGGAGCAGUUGUGGCUUGUUGGGAAGAGCUGCGAGAGAGAGAGAGAGAGGGGACGACGCGAGGAAGGCAGGGUUUGAGCAGCAGCGAGACUUCUCUCAUGAGCAGGAGCUGCCUGCAAAUACUGCAAGUGUUUCAGUCUGUCACCACCUACUUUGACAGACUGAUGGCUGGUAUUUCCAGAUGGAGGUAUGCCACCAAGGCAAUGUGAAGUUUCAGGGAAGCUUAUGAACAUCAUGAGUAUUGUAUCCUCUAGCUUCAUUGGAGCAGAGAAAAAGACGUUACAAUUUUGGGGGCAUUUUUUAGUCUCAGAAAUACUAGGUAGGAGUGGGUUUAUUCUCUUUUUAAAAAAUGUACUCAUGCAAAGCAGGCAAUUUACAUCUGUCUGUUAUUUUGCAUAAUGAUAACAGACUAUUCUGGGCAUCACAUUACUCCACUUUUCAAACUACAUCCAUCGCUGUGCUUGAUGUUUUCCUAUCAUUGCAUGGGAAGCCUUUUGACUUGACUUUUUAAUUUUAUGUAGACUCCAGAGAAGAUCCGUGACGCUAGAACAAUGUUACUGAAAGUUAUAACAUCACUGACAGGGAAUGGAGGGCAUUCCAGAAUACUGCUUGCAGCAGCAGGUCACUGGAAUGACUGGCCCGAUCUGAGAAAUGUAAACUUUCCUUUUGAGCCUUGAACCUUUGAUGAGCUUUAUAGUCGAAGGGACUUGUUUUAUCUUAAAGCCUUGCAUGUUGUGGUGCGACUAACAAGAUUAGUAGAGGUGGAUUUAUUCCUCAAAUAUGUUUUGGCUUUCAGCAUCAUAAUAACAUAAUUUGGUAGCUGCACUUGUUCUCUGUUGAGAAUUUCAUACAGCUCUCAGCUGAUGCACAAAAUAGGAAAUGUAUUUCUGGAUUCAAACUGAGUGAGCAGCCCUAAGCUCCAGACCUUUGGAUCCUGCCAGUAAGAUUCUGAUUCUCAUCAAAGUUUCUGUGUCAUCUAUGCCAUUAAAUCCUGUGAUUGUAAAAAGGGGCCUUUCCUCAGAAAAAGAGCAGUUUAUUGCAUAUCAAACAGAAAUCUUAUGAGGAAGUCACAGGCUCUUCUGCAGCUCUGCUGAACCCUGUUUUCAAUUACCAGAUGGGAGACUAGACCUUGAAAAAAAUACAAGAAGAAUACAACAGGUAGUUUCUUGACAGAUAAUACUUGGAUAUAUCCAUGGAAAGUGAUAAACUAUGUAUUUUAAGUAUCUAAUGUAAAACUCCAUUCAGUCUUUCAGUCUCCUAAGAUAUAGGGGACUAUAUUCAAAAGUAAUCAAUGUAGGGCAUGCCAGAAUAAAAUCAGUUUUACGAGUACCUGAAUCCAGUGCUUCAUAUUGUCUUGUAGUGUAGAUACACCUGGAACCACAUCUUGGUCAGAUUUUUAACAUGCUUUUAAAGCAGGAAAAAAAAAAAGCUGGAAAGGGACCAUCAUCAUUCAACCCAUGGUAGGGUUACAGAGAAAACCAGAAGUAGUUCUUGGAAAUAGUUUCAGGUGGCCAUUUGUUCUGAGAUUGUAGACCUUGAUAUUAGAUGCAGUCUUUCAUAUCUAAGGUUACUAUGAAAUAGUAAUUCAUAUGCCCCCUUUUCCUUUCUCCUAGGAAUUUAAUUAGACAAGUAAACCCUUGUAUUUCUGUAUUAUCUAAUCUCUAAGCAUCUUAGAGUGCACAUACCAUUUUUAUAAGGCUUAGUAUUUGUUUAUGCAACUAGACAAACAGUAGUUCUGUAUCUUUGCAUUUAAAGUGAAGUCACUAAAGACAUUCUGCUCUGUGUAUCCGAACUAAAUCAAAAAGAACCUUGGGAGCAGAUUCAAGCAUAGUAGUUACUCGAAUAUGUUAAUGUUACAUUUUGUCUAAGAUACUAGAACCAUUUGGAAAAGAAAACAACCAAAUUCACUAGAUCAUAACCUCACAAGGAGUUUGGUUUUGAAUACACCAUAAGAGUUCCAGGCUUGUACCAUUUCAAACACAUUCAGUAGGAGUUAGAUUUGUAAUUUAUCCAUACCUUUUAUUCUGUUUUCCUCCCUGUUUUGUUCUUUGUCAUUAAGCUCCAUCUCAGGUACUGUCUGUACAUAGAGUAAUGUGCUGCGCUUGUCAAUACAACACCAAAUUUAACAAGUAUAGUUUUUAAAAAGUAAUUAGAGAUGUGCUGCCAGUUACUUUGCUUUCUCUCAGGAUAUGGACAUGUUAAAAUAGUCCAACAUUGAAUACAGAUUCCUUCCCUUUGUAUGCUAUAUGAAGGACACAGAGAGGCACAUUAGGAGUUUAAAAAAAUUUAACUACACAAAGAGAGGUGAUACUGUAAGAGCUUCUUAUUUCACUGGUGAAAACUAGUAUGAAUAGAUCAGACAAAGUGGAUGCUUGGAACUACAGAUGCUACAGCCACAUCAGUGAGCAGCAGCUUGUUGACCUGACUUAGUUUCAAAUACAGAAAACAACAGAGACAGACCAGCAAACUGCAGAGGCCUCUGCUUUGGUGCAGGUAGGAUCCUCCUGCUCUGCUUUGGACUGGCUUCUAUGUCUGCAGCACUCUCAUGCUUUUGGGCUGUGUUGGUUGUGGUAGAGCUGUACAGAGCUAUACCCUGUUUCAUUACAGACCAGAGGUCACUGCUCUCCUGGACCUCAUGGAAGCCAUUGUCUGGCUUCCUCUGGGCUGGACACCCCACAGCAGCAGGCUCAGGGUCCCACCAGAAAGCAGAGAUGUCUUUAUCAUCAAUUAUAUCUGUCUCCAAGGAUCUUGUUUUCAGCUUCAAAGGCUAUUACUACAUAGUAAGCUUAGGUGGCAUGGGAUGGCAGUUUGUUCUCUCCUUUCCUUAAGGUGAGCACUGGGAUCUACAUUACAGGUAACAGCUGUAGUGGCAGCCAGCUCAUAGCAGUGGCAGUCACAUCUCUGCUGCUCAAAAGUCUCCAAGACAGAGAGAGAAAAUCCUCAUUUACUAUCAGCUACUUCCUCACUAUAUCCUUGGUUUCUUAUGGUCCAACCACAAAUCUUGUUGAUCCUUGUGGUCCUUUCACUGGAACUGCUGCUACAGCAGCUGCAGCUUCCAUUUCUGUGUCAGGAGAUGAUACAGCUGCAGGUAGGUUGGUGUCUAUGUAGCUUUUACUAGAACUGCUGCUGCAUCACAAGAAUCCACUGCACCAACAGUAUGGCUAGCAUUGCUGGUUUUCUAUUUAAUGAGGAUUUCUGAAUUCGAGUGUGCUACUUUUUUUUUUUUUUUUAAUUUCUCUUUUCUCUUUUAGCUUUACUAAGCUGCUCUCUGGUAGACCCAGAAUCAAGAAAUAAACCACCUGCUUUUUUUCCAAAAUGAAACACCAACACCUUUCAUACCAUUUAGAAAACUGAUUUAUCUGCAGGAUCCCACCCCCUCAUAUUUUUACUAUUGUUCUUUUAAGGAAAAAUACUGUUUCCUGAAGAAUAUACCUCUAGCUUUCUUUCCUCAGGCACAUGUAUUUAGGAGCUGUUAUCAGCAGCUCUGCCAUAGCCUUGAGAAGUCUGAAGUACACUUUUCAGUGAAAUUAACUGUUUGGAAGGACUGUAGGCAGGUAGAGAAAUACCAAAUUCAUUUUAGGAAGGCUGUGUGCAUUAGCUCAGGUAAUUAGGAUCUCCUUUGAUGGGACAGUAAUAUUCAUUUUCACAAUUUCAAGGCAGAGGAACUGUGAUAAUGAACUUCAUCCCAUAAGUUUUUAUUUGCUCCCUGUGAAUUGCUCAAGCCUCACUUACUGGAGAAUUUGAGCCCAGGAGACACUGAACUCCUCUCCAGAGCUUUAAGAAAUGCUUUGAACAAAGCUGGCCAAAAGUGCAAGGUUUCAAUGGCAGUAGGAAGUUUUUAAAUGGUAACAAUUUUUAUUCAAAAAGUAAUUACUGCUCCUGUAACCAGAAGUGCUUUUUACCCCUAGAACUGGAUUCAGGUGCAUCUUUUGCUCACUUGCUGAGAUGAGGAGAGGUCUUCCAACACCAUAUUUUGUGUCAGAACAACAUAAAUGGCAUGACUGUGUAUCUCAGGGGUAGCUGAUGGAAACAAAAUGUUGGCUUUUAUCUCAUGUAAGCUAGAAAUCAGGGCACGUCAUCAUGUGAAAGAAGUCAAGGGAUUUACAGGAAGGGAUGUGUCAUGGUAGUGUGAGUUCCUCAAUCAAAGGUGAGGGUGUUAUCAUCCCCGCUGUUCAGAAGAAUUUUCUCAAUGAGAAAUUUAAAGCUGACACAAGCUCUGAAUGACUGGUGAUUUUUAUGGCCUACAGAACAUUGUAACAUUCUUUAAGCUAAUACAUAGGAUAAGACUGUUGACUUAGAGGAACUUCAGAGAAAAUUCAAAGCCUCAAGAGCUCCAUUUAGAUGGAGUUGCAAGUUAGGAAGAAAAAGCAGAGAGAGAAAAAGGAAAGAAGAAUUUCAUCCUUGCCAAGGAAGAGCAAGCUGCUUGGAGAAGUCGUUGUAGGAACAACUUUUGAGCCUGGAGAGAAGAUGAAAAAUUAAGACAUUAAGCAUCAUCUCUUAAGUAGGUGCAUUUACCAAGCAGAAUAUGGGUCAGUCGUUCCUUUGGGUAACAGUAGCAAAAUCAAUUGUAACUAACAAGAACACUUUUCUAGUUACAUCUUAUUUUUUACCUAAUUGUUAAUAAUUGUUUCUGCUUCUGAUGUCAAGGUUUCUUGCUGGAGCAAGCAUACAACUUUUGUCCUAUUGCUAAGGGUGAACUCAGUAGAGUUUGACAAAUAAGCUGUAAACUUCUAUAGUAGUAAUGACUCCAGGUGGUGUGUGGAUUCUGUCUUAAAUGACAUUAAUCUGGGGAUGACAGCCCUUGAGAUGUUUUCUCUGCCAAGCAGUAAAUCCCUAGGAAAUUUCUCUUUGCAGGUUUAAUCUUUACUUUUCUAAGAAGGAAGAAAAAACAGGGGAAAAAAAUUAGUUACCUUCUAUGUGAUCACAAGAAAAUUAAAGCCACUGAAUUACCAAAAUAACAAGCAACAGGACAAGAUGAAGUUGACCUCAAAUUGCACCAAAGGGGGUUUCAAUUGGAUAUUAGGAAAAAUUUCUUAAUCAAAAGGGUUGUCAAACAAUGGAACAGGCCACCCAGGGAAAUGGCUGACUCACACUCCCUGGGGGUAUUUAAGGGCUAUGUAGAUGUGACAUUUAGGGACAUGGCUUAGUGGUGGCUAGGGUACUGCUGAGGAAAUGGUUGGAUUCAAUGAACUUAAAGUUGUAUUUUUCAACCUGCACGAUUCAAUAGUUCUUUAAAAUAACCUUUUAGUUGAAAUCCUGGAUUUUGUAGAGGAAUAACCAGUAAUGUGCAUGGCCAUACACACACACACACACUUUCUUCCUUAAAAAUACAAGCAAAAAGACAAGAAAGGGAGCAGACUUCAAUGAACCGACAAAGAAACUUAAACUGAGGAGCAUCUGCCUGUUACAUGUUGGUUGUGACAAUCACUUAAACUGUACUGUAAGGAGAAUUUAAAACUGAAGAGGAGCUGUUUUUGAAAAGAAUAGACUUCCUUAAUGGUAGCUCUUUUAUGAUUCACACCUGCUCAUUUGAAAGUGUAAAAACACCUAGAUGUUUACAGAGAUUGAGAGGGAUUAUGUGCUCUGGGAAGUUGUCCCCCACUUUUUCCUCCUUUGCACUAUUUCUUUAAAGAUACUCGUGGCAUGGGAUGCUUAUCUCUGAUGAAAAGCCUGUUCCAUCAGGCCAGCACCCCUGGAGGCAGCCGAAGAUUACCAGGCUGUCUGAAACUUUGGAGUCAGGUUUUUGUCUUAUCUGUGCAUUGUUGUCUGCCAGUUUUAUUCUCCCAAUAGCAAUGAAAGCCACACAAGAAUAUGAGUCAUGAUUUCCUGUAGCUCUGCCACCCACCUGUAAAACAAGAAAGAAAGACUAGCCAGGUAAGGAGUUCUCAGUGUGAAUUGCAAUUUCUACACUAAAAGCAGUAGUAAUGCUGUUUAAUGAGGUAAAAGGGUCUGGAAGUAAUUCUCAGAACUACAAAAGGUAAUGUGCCACAGAUUCGCCCUCUCAGGUCCCUCUUGUGGGUGCUGACCUAAGAGAAGACAAACACUCUUGGUGUCCUUGAGAGUGGACUCAGGCAGACUGCUGGCUAGAGGAGCCUUGGUCACUUGUCACGGUGAUAUUUCCUAGUUUUUAGUGAAAUAUAAAUAUUGUGAUAAUUAUAGGAAAAUUAUUUUUAUGAAAUACUGCAAUAGAUUUUAGAUUAUUAUAGUUACUGUUCAGGCAACACCUGUCACACACUGAUCAUACUCCCAAAAAGGAGAAUUUAAUGUAAUACAUAUAUGUAGAUGGCAAAGCAACCUUUUAAAAGUUAUUAAGACAUGCAACAUAAUAUUUGCUGUGACCUUGAAGAAAUAUUUUCCUUUUUUGUUCCUCCUUUCACUUUCAGACUGGUUUUACCAAAACUCCAAUUUCCUAACCAAGUUUUUGUAAUGCCUCUCAGCACUGUGGAACUGCUUUUACUGACAUAAGUUCCACACCUAGGUAAGUGCACAUUAUCACAGACAGCUGAGAGUGAUUGCAUAAACAAAUUACCACAUUUUUAACAUUCAUACAAGCUUAUGAUCAGAAUAGUCAGAAGCAUACUUUGCAUGUGCAGUUCAGCAUUUUCAUACUUCCAUGAUUUUAUUUCCAAGCCAAACUGCCUUCAAAAAAGCAAAGCACAUAUUUAUCACCAAGAAUUAACGAUAUACCGAACUUGCAGAUUCAACACAAAGCUUCUUUUGAUUUGCCACAGCAUUAAAAAUAGCAUCUGAAAAAUUACAUAUGAAAAACUAUUUUUCAUAUAUGAAUAAUUUAAACAGACAAAUGAAAUUCUUUAAAACUAAUUUUUUUCCACCUCAAGUUGGAUUUUCAGAAGACAUGUUGUGAAAUUUUUUGAGCGUAUUAAAAAAAGUGUAGAAUAGCAGCAAUAGAAGUGAUGAUUUUAAGGAUAGAGUGGAUGCUACAUACCCAAAAUGCUUGUGAAAAUAAACUACAUUUUCUGUAUAACAUUCCUAUUUCAGAUGUCAUUUUUCUGACCUUAAAAGAAUUACCCCUGACACUGGUAAGUAAUAGUACAGUCUACUCUUAUCUGAACACCACCUCACUGUUUUAAGAGACUGAGUUAUUCUUAGUAUCAUGUUGACUUUUAGUCUUCCACAGUGUUAAAAACAGGUUAGAAACUGUUGUAAAAUAGUUGAUAGAUCGUUAAGCAUGUAGUGUUAGUUUGGUUAUGGUAGAAGGGGUUAAAAGGGUAGUUAUAAGAAAUACGGUACUCAACGUACCAUAAUACACCUAAGUAAAGUGCACCACCCCAAAGCGAAACGAGCCAGCCUGGACAGAACUGUAAUGGGCCAAUCAAGCGCCUUAAACCUUCAUGCAAAUGAAGGAUCCAAAAAGAAACCAAUCCAAAGGGACAAAAAAAAAAAAAAAAAAACAAAAACAGGAUAAAAAGGGGCUUCUGACCCACCGAAUGCGUGCCGCUCCAUCUGGGACAUCGGGGACGUCGCUGCUCAAGAAGACCCAGCGCCGGCAUCGCCGCAUCCUCGACGGGAACGCUCCUGCUCGGCCCGCGGGCCCCCUUGCUUUAGGCCUUUCUUUUUCUUCUAAUAAAUGCUGAAAUCACUUUAGUACCGGGAGCCUGCUCUCGUUUAACAACAGGUCUUAGCGUUUUACAAAUCUGAAAAUAUCUUGCCUCGAAUGCCUGUGAAGUGGGAGUGAGGCAAGUCAUGCUCAGAGGUGGUGCAAGGGGAGGAAGGGAGAAGUGGAAAACAGCAGUACUUUAGCAGUAAUCUGGUAGUCCUGUAAGGCCCAUCACAUUAAUGGGGAGACGGGAAGGGAAAACGCUCAGUAGGGAACGAGGACGUGCAGAAUGAAAAGUGAUAAAACCUGCAUGAGAACUGGCUAAACUGAGUCAGGAGUCUUGUAAAGCUUGCCUCAGAAAUUACUUUGCUGUGACCAGAAAAUAGCUCUUCUGCCUUUAAACAGUGGGGAAAACCACCACAAUUUCAUAUAGACAGCUUCUCAGUUUGUUCAGUAAAUACUAAGUUCAGCACAUGUGACAUCAUGAAUAAGUCAGACAAAAGACUAAACUGGCAGAAUGAAAACAUUAGGAUAAUCAUCAGUAUGGGAAUAUGUUUUAAUCAUCAGUAUGGGCAGUUUAUGACUUGGUUUAUCAGGUUUUGUAAUUUAAUUUUUGUAACAUUUUCUUAGAGACAGCUUUCACACAUGGAUUCAUGAGACACAAUGACAUCAUGUGAUCUGAGUUAAUUCACCAGCUCUGCAAAAUAGGAUACUGAGUUUUUGUUACAUAAUGGCUCCCCAAAUAAUGGCCUCACCCAUUAACGUAAGGCAAGAAGAAGAGUACAAGUAGCUUUAGAGGAGACGUGCAUAAUGAUCCCAUCAUGCUUAAGAAGGACAAAAUCAUCCAAGAAAAUUGUAGCUGUUACAAUGAGCAAUGCAGCUGUUGGAACUGGAGCAUUGUUCUUUACUACAUGAUGUAAACAUGUCAACAUUAUUACAUAUGUUCUUAAAAUGUUACCUUUUAUAAUUCUGCACUGUUGUGUGUGGUUUUUUCCACAGAACUGACCACAUGGAACUUGUUUACAGUGAUCAAGGCGGAGUCUAAGGCUCAUUACUCAUCUCCAGUUAAGGACCAGCUCAAGGACAUUCUUCCUCAGCUGGGUGAACCUGCUAGAAUGCCUCAAGUCCUGCAAGGAAGGAGAUACCCAGAAUGCACAGGAGAAACCAAGACCCUUGUCUUGCAGCCAGGCAUACAGGAGCAACUGACCUGGUUCAUUUUGUGACACUGACUCAAACAGGGACUCUGUUCUCCUUGGCCCACUUUUUCAUGACACGAACAAUGUACUCUACUUGAGAAUUACCAGUGCUCUUCAGAAGGUGCAGAACUUCCCGCAGAGUUUCUCUACAAAGGUGAAAAGCAAAGAUUUAAGUGAGGGUUAGACCCAACUGAUACAAUGAACUGCUCACAUCAAACUAUUUCACAAAACAUAGGUUCUCUGAGACAGAAAGGUCCAUUCAUCUGCAGUGCUGGAAUAGGUUAAAAUGCACACUAGAUGCGAUCCCAGAGACCAAAAAAGUGACCAAUGAAAAAGUCUUGUAUACAAUUGUAAAGAAAUGAUAAGUUAAAAAAUAAAAUAACCAAAAUGUAGUUAAUGUCUGCAUAUGUGUAUAUUUGUAUACAUACCCUCACUCUUGCAAAAUUGUUCCCCAGAACAAACCAAACUUAAAAAAAAUCUUUAAUGUUAUUUGCUAGUCUUUAGUAUGGCAACAUCUAGCUUAAUGCUGCCAAAGCACUUUACACAUAACACAAUACACAUAAACACAAAUAACAUGGAAAUCAACAUUCCUAAUAGAAUAAACCUAUUACUAUUAAACCUAUAUAGAUCCUGCUGCAGUUUCCCAGUUAGUUGACAAUGAGAACUUAAUUGCAUACUUUGAAAAACAGGCAAGUUAUGUGUAUUUUACUGCACGUGCUGCAGUGAUUGUUAAAAGGACACUUGAAAGGUAUAGUAGUUAAUGAGAUUAUUCCAGCAGAGAAGUGAAUAGAAGGAAGGUCUAGAAGCCAAGAUACACACCUACCAGUCAUGUAGGAAACAGCAACUUUGGCCAGAAGACAAUGGCCAUCUGGCAUCACAGCAGAAUAUUCACAAGGGAGCAGUUCUUAAAUACAGCUUCACUACUCUCUCUCAUUCCCCAUCCAGUGAAAUGGGCCAAAACCAAAAUUAUCAGUAACACAGAUGAUUUCCUUUAAGCUUUCAUCAUAUUUGUGUGACAUGGUCAGUGUCUUCAGAAGGCAAAUUUUAACGAAAGAACAGUCUCAUCUACUCUUUGUUUAGAGAAAUCAUGUCCUUCCUACAGUGUUGAGUAAAUGUUUCCUUAGCUCUGUUCUAUGCCUUUAAAAACGUCAUGUGAUAGUUUUCCAUUCUUACACCAUCAACAUGAUGUUGUUUUCCCCAGUUCAUGAACAUACUACUACAUUACAACCUAACUUUUCCUAAUGAUGAUGACUAAACUAUUUCGGUAUUUUGUAGUGCACAGCAAUUGCUCAUAAAUUAUUCUCUACCAUAUAUUCUGUAACUGUUGGUGUGGAAGAUAGACUUCCAGCUGAAGACUGCAUAUGGAGCCUCUGGAUGGAGUGUCUGUUCUCUGAAAGCUCAAUAAAAGAUUGGAAGAUGAUAUGUAGUCCUAAA